CUACCCGUGGCCAAAACGGGCUUGUAGGAAUCUCCUGUCCUUCCGGUUGGGGAGUUCUCGGAGCCGUUUGUACACUUCAUCACUCAAUGUAUGAGGAAGCAACCGAAAGAACGACCAGCCCCUGAAGAAUUAAUGGGCCACCUCUUUGUUGUGCAGUACAAUGAUGGGAAUGCCGAAGUGGUCUCCAUGUGGGUGUGCCGGACCCUGGAGGAGAGGCGUCUGCAGCAACAGGGAUCGCAGUGAGAGGAGGAGAGAUGCGCUCCCUCCCACGGGACAGCAGCCUCCCAAGAGCUUCAUGGCCAAGGCAGUUCAGAGUUGAGCCUGCCAGGCAGAGCCGGCAUCUUUUUCUCCAAGAAAUUCAGCGGACGUCCUUUGCCCCCCUCCGGCUCUCACGGCCGCCUGCAUCCUUAAGACAAUAGGAACAUAUAUUUUAUAAACCGAAUGUAUAUAUGUUGGCCUCCAAGUAUUUUAUACGCUUUGGGGUCUUUGCUAGCUAAACAUAAGGACGGGAACAGAAAAUGGAGGCCCUGUGGACUCAGUCAGGCGCCUGCCUUGGAUUGGGAUUUGAAACUGAAUGUUAGAUGAUGGACCAGUGAAAGAAAAUGGAUCAAGAUGAAAGAAUAAAAAGUGUAAGCAGUUUCUGCCAAA